GUUAUCGUGUUGAGAGGGAAAAGUAAGGAAUAUAAUUGCUUUUUAGAGAGAACCAUCAUCGGCUGAAAGUGGUUUAAGCAAUGAUUUCUGAACAUGCACCCUUGAGCCUUUCUCUGAAUCACUCCGGUUUAGUAGGGGAAAGCGAGUGGCGUCGUUAUAUGCCAUAGAGAUAGUAUGAGGGAUGCUCCCUUUUACUAAAACAGAGUGGAACCGCGCUAGGCGCCUCUGUG
rnacentral:ncRNA from 1 species